rnacentral:rRNA from 1 species
AUUGAACGCUGGCGGCAGGCCUAACACAUGCAAGUAGAGCGGAGCGGUGGACGGGCGAGUAAGGCCUAGGAAUCUGACUGGUAGCGGGGGAGAACGUCAGGAAACGGGAGGAAAUACAGCACACUAUCAGAUGCGCCGAGGGUGGUUUAGCUAGUUGGUGGGGUAGAGGCCUAGAAAGGCGACGAUCCGGAACUGGUCGGAGAGGAUGACCAGCCACACGGGAACUGAGACACGGUCCAGAUUCCUACGGGAGGCAGCAGUGGGGAAUUUUGGACAAUGGGGGAAGGCCUGAUCCAGCCAGCCCGCGUGUGUGAGGAAGGUCUUCGGAUUGUAAAGCACUUUGAGUUGGGAGGCGGUACCUACAGAAUAAGCACCGGCUAACUUCGUGCCAGCAGCCGCGGUAAUUC